rnacentral:rRNA from 1 species
GACGAACGCUGGCGGCGUGCUUAACACAUACAAGUCGAACGGUAAGGCCCUUCGGGGUACACGAGUGGCGAACGGGUGAGUAACACGUGGGUGAUCUGCCCUGCACUUCGGGAUAAGCCUGGGAAACUGGGUCUAAUACCGGAUAGGACCCUGGGAUGCAUGUCCUGGGGUGGAAAGCUUUUGCGGUGUGGGAUGGGCCCGCGGCCUAUCAGCUUGUUGGUGGGGUGAUGGCCUACCAAGGCGGCGACGGGUAGCCGGCCUGAGAGGGUGACCGGCCACACUGGGACUGAGAUACGGCCCAGACUCCUACGGGAGGCAGCAGCGGGGAAUAUUGCACAAUGGGCGCAAGCCUGAUGCAGCGACGCCGCGUGAGGGAUGACGGCCUUCGGGUUGUAAACCUCUUUCAGCACCGACGAAGCGCAAGUGACGGUAGGUGCAGAAGAAGGACCGGCCAACUACGUGCCAGCCGCCGCUGUAA